rnacentral:lncRNA from 1 species
CCCCCACUACCACAAAUUAUGAUGUAGGCUCCACCACUUGGGUAGACCUUAGACUGGCACCCUUCCUUGGUGCAAUGGAAGUCACCAACCUAGGCCAUGGGCCUUUAUGAUCACCCAUUGACCCCAUCCAGGUAAGUAAUUUGGAAUCGUUGUAGUGCCUUCCCUUUUAUAAGCUUAUUGCAGGCGUCUUCCACACCCAUUCUCCGAUGUAGGACUUCAAUGCCAGGCAUCUUGCCUCAUCUCAUGCCUCGUGCUUUUGAUGUAGGACUUGAAUGUUGUUUCAUUCAAUGAAGAAAUUGGAAAGCUGGAUAUUUGUCUCUAGUUGAAAUGAUUCAACAGGUAAUAGAACAUGGAAAGUAAACUUUAUAUUCCAAAAAUUGGAGGCAUAUUCAGAGGAUGGAAGACAAAUGGACAAUGUUAUCUUUGCCAAAACCAUUUCAUUGAUAGCAAGAAGGAUAGAAAUUAUGAAUAGCUCCACAAAUAAGUCGAUCCAAGAAAGAAAGUUGAAGAGACCAUAUAGUUGAAGCGCGGAGUAAGAUGAUGAAUCAAGAGGAAGCAGCAAGAAGCGAAGUAGUUGAAGAAUGAAGAUUUGAAGAGAACCAUUUUCAAUUUAUUUUGGGUGUUCUUGUAUACCAGAAAAACUAAUCAGAAUUGUUGAAUUGCUCAUAUCAAAUGCUUCAUGGGAACUAUGUUCUGAUUAAAAUAACAAAUAAAUUGUACUAUUAUGAUUGUAGAAGCAAAUUCAUAUUUUAUUGAGGAGUUUUAUCGAACACCAAUCUUCAAAACCAUGUAAGAUUUUUUUGGUGUCUAAACCAUGUAAGAUUUGG